GAUGAACGCUGGCGGCGUGCUUAACACAUGCAAGUCGAACGGGAUCCCAGGAGCUUGCUCCUGGGUGAGAGUGGCGAACGGGUGAGUAAUGCGUGACCGACCUGCCCCAUACACCGGAAUAGCUCCUGGAAACGGGUGGUAAUGCCGGAUGCUCCAGUUGGAUGCAUGUCCUUCUGGGAAAGAUUCAUCGGUAUGGGAUGGGGUCGCGUCCUAUCAGCUUGAUGGCGGGGUAACGGCCCACCAUGGCUUCGACGGGUAGCCGGCCUGAGAGGGCGACCGGCCACAUUGGGACUGAGAUACGGCCCAGACUCCUACGGGAGGCAGCAGUGGGGAAUAUUGCACAAUGGGCGCAAGCCUGAUGCAGCGACGCCGCGUGCGGGAUGACGGCCUUCGGGUUGUAAACCGCUUUUGACUGGGAGCAAGCCCUUCGGGGUGAGUGUACCUUU
rnacentral:rRNA from 1 species